rnacentral:rRNA from 1 species
UACGUAGGGCGCAAGCGUUGUCCGGAAUUAUUGGGCGUAAAGAGCUCGUAGGCGGCUUGUCACGUCGGGUGUGAAAGCCCGGGGCUUAACCCCGGGUCUGCAUUCGAUACGGGCUAGCUAGAGUGUGGUAGGGGAGAUCGGAAUUCCUGGUGUAGCGGUGAAAUGCGCAGAUAUCAGGAGGAACACCGAUGGCGAAGGCAGGUCUCUGGGCCAUAACUGACGCUGAGAAGCGAAAGCAUGGGGAGCGAACAGG